ACUUUUAAAGGAUAACAGUUAUCCAUUGGUCUUAGGCCCCAAAAAUUUUGGUGCAACUCCAAAUAAAAGUA
ensembl:Mt_tRNA